CCGCCCGGACGCCAUUACAGUCAGCCUGAAUCAAACAGCAGCUUCACCUCUCAGAACGUGGAGCAGAGCACAGAGAAAAGAUCAAAGCCAUAGUGAGCGAGCACAACAUGCAUGUAAAGAGGCUGGUGGGGCAAAUAAAAUGGGUUAAUUGGAAGGAAGUGCACUACUCCAGUGCCUUUUUAAUCCCAUCUUUAUGAAUGCUAUCAGAGAAAUUGCUGCUCUCCUGGGAUUUUUACACACAAUAUUCUCUAGAGUUUACACAGUAUGGUACCAAAAACAAUCCAGUGAUGCAAGGAGACACAGCCUGUUGAUGAGAAAGGGUAGAGGAGAAUGGCCAAAUUGGUUCAAGCUGACAGGAAGGUUACAGUAACUCAAAUAACUACACUGUACAACCAUGUUGAGCAGAAAAGCAUCUCAGAAUGCACAAUACGUCAAACAAAGAGGCGGAUGAACUACAACAGCAGAAGACCAAACCGGGUUCCACUCGUGUCAGUCGAACAAGAAUCUGAGACUACAGCUGAAGACUGGAAAAAUGUUACUGGUCUUUUUCCAGUCUUCAAUUUUGACAUUAUGGAUAUUUAAAAUGCUAUCAUGGUUCAAGUAAAGUGAAUAUGUUAAAAUGUUCCUCAUAGUAAGCUGUAAGACACUAUUAACUUUUAUUUUUGUAAUUUAAUAUGGUUAACACUUAAGUCCAGAUUAAUUACAAAAACACAUUCAUGUAAUUAAUAAUAAAGGCAUAUUACAAUAAAAUGAUAUGUAGGUACUGCAUGUGUCCUUGUCAUUUCUGGAAGCACUUAAUAAUGACACUUUAAAUGUUGAUAAUGUUUUUAUAAUUGUUAAUGAAUAUUACAGUUGAUUUAUAAGUAUGUAGUAAACUACUAAAUAUUAUAAUGAAUAGUCACAUUUGUAUUGCAACAUUAUUGUAAUCAAUAAAUUAUUUUACAGCUAUUGCAGCAAUGAAUUAUUUAUAGUAUUUAUAAGCGCUAUAAGAUUCACAUCACUAUAUACCAAUGGAUUGUUUAUAGCACGUUAUUAGAACUUAAUGAGGCAUCAUUAGAGUUUAUAAAAAUGCUUAGCAACCUAUAAAGAAUUAUAAGCACAGUUAUAAUGGUGUUUAUAUCAGGUGUUGCUAAAUAUAUUUCAGGUGAUACAGGUAUAGCGAAGGAACUGGAUUUACCUUUUAUACAUUUGGGAACAUAACUCCAUAUUAUGUGUGUUCAUUGUGUCUCCUCCUGAGUACUGCUCUAUUUGUAAGUGUGUCUUCUCUCUCACUGUACACUGUAGUGACAGCAUUUUCCUAUUAUGUUCAUAUGCAUCAUACUGAAUUCAUUUGUGUAAUUUGUGUGUGCAGCAUUUGGAAGCAUGGACCGAGACCACACCUAAAGCCAAAAUGCUGCCUCUCAUUUUUCAUCCCCUCUAUCAAUAUUUCCUGCCAGUGUCAACACAAAUAUCGAUUAUGCAAGGGGACAUUCAUCAUCUUUUAUUUAUUUUCACAAUUAUAGUAAAACAUAGUUAAUACAUGAAAUGAAAGUCUCAGAAUGAAACAAAACAUAGUGUUCACUUACUUGAGGGUAUGAUAUAGAAUCAUCACUUUGAUAAGUACCAUAUCCCAAUCUACUGUCUUGUCUUGUCUAUUGCUCCAUCUUAAUAAUGGUCCUCUCCAUGUCCUGCACUCACCACUCACCCAUACUAAUCAAUACAAAGUACAACACAUCUGAAAACAUGAAUAAAAUAAAAAAAUAAAAAACACUAUUUUUAUUAUGUAUCUACAAUAGUACUCAAAAGCAUCAUCAUGCCUUAAAGUAAAAAAAAAAACAAAAAAAAAA